UACGUAGGGAGCAAGCGUUGUCCGGAAUCAUUGGGCGUAAAGCGCGCGUAGGUGGCCUCAUAAGUCCGCUGUGAAAGUCAAAAGGCUCAACCUUUGAAAGCCGGUGGAUACUGUGAGGCUAGAGUACGGAAGAGGCGAGUGGAAUUCCUGGUGUAGCGGUGGAAUGCGCAGAUAUCAGGAGGAACACCGGUGGCGAAGGCGGGGUCUCUGGGGCCGAUACUGACGCUAAGGAGCGAAAAGCGUGGGGAGCGAACAGG
rnacentral:rRNA from 1 species